rnacentral:lncRNA from 1 species
UUUAGGUUUUUAAUAUUCUUCUUCUGAGAAGCACUGUAUACUCUUCUGUCUUGAAAUGAUGUCUUUAUCUGGGUGCUGUUUUUUAUUGUUUUCCCUGUGAAGCUAGAAAUAUGGGCAUAGACUACACAGACUGUACUCUGGGUCUGUACUCAGCCUCUGGCCCAAUAUAUGACACAUUCAUUUUUAAAUGAGUGUUUAAUAAGCAGAUAUUGUCUUCUUAGCAGUAGCAUCUUUUUUCUAGUCUUUGCUUUUAUAUGUAUCUAGCAUGUAUUUUUGACAAGUCCCUUCACUUUUCUCAGCCUGCUUUUUGGGACAGUACUUCUUUUUCCUUUCUCACAGAGCGAUUCAUUGACUUAGCAAAAUUUUAAUGAAUACCCAUCAAGUGCUGAGAUCUAAAGUUACUUUAUGAAGAACGCAGUGUUGAAAAGAGAUUAUUGGCAUUGAAUUAAUUCAAUUCUGAUAAAACAGUAAAUAAUAUCGAAACCUAUAUGAGGCACACUGUUAUAGAAUAUUUAAUUCGAAAUAAACAUAUUGGAUGGGGUGCUUUUAAAUUUAUAAAUUUGUACUUUAUAUACUUUAUUAUAUAAAGCAUAAUAAUCUAUUAUUAUACAUUCACAUCAAAACGCCAAGGCAAUUCAAAUCAAUCCUAUUUUACAGAUGGGGAAAUUGUGACUCAGCAGCAUUCAGUAAAUUACUCACGUUCAGAGAGGCAGCCUGCACAGGCAUCAGGCUUAAUGCCCAGGCUCUUCUCUCUAAAAUCAGCUCUCUGCAAACAAAGCAAGAAACAUAAUUAGACACAAAAAUGAAAAUACUAUUUAAAGUGAAAUUAAAAGAAAGCAAUGCAGUACCAUAGCUACAUUAGAGUCAGUGUUCUGGAACAAACUGUCAUGUGUAAGGUCCUCUAACCUCCAAGAAUUUCAAAACCUUGUUCUAAAUAAUACUCCAUUCUCUGUGAGGACAGGAGAGUAAGAUAUGCAUUAUAAUUCAUAAGAAACUCAUGCUGGAAUGGUCACGAAUAAAUAAUAAAAAUGAACCCAAAACAAGUUGACUAAAAGAGAAAGCUAAAAAAAAAAAAAAAAAGUAAAGGGGUGUGUGUGUGUGUGUGUGUGUGUGUCUGUGUGUGUCUGUGUGUGUGUGUUUUCAACUUGGGUUUGACUUCUAAAAGCUGAAAUUCAAUCAAUUCAUUCAUUCUGCUGGCCAAAAUUAAAUUUUGGUUAACUUCCAUUACUCUUACAUUCACAAGGCCUUUCAAGAUAUCUCACCUGAAAUGCUUUGUUAUGUGCAUUCAGAUGUCCAAGAUCAAAUAUAAGGAAGAUUUUACUUGAACAAAAAUGGAACCCCUGUCCUUCUAUUUGUACAUUUUUUUAGAGAUUUAUUUAUUUAUUUUAUGUAUAUGAGUACACUGUCACUAUCUUCAGACACAGCAGAAGACGGCAUCAGAUCCCAUUACACAUGGUUGUGAGCCACCUUGUAGUUGCUGGGAAUUGAACUCAGCACCUCUGGAAGAGCAUUCAUUGCUCUUAACCACCAAGCCAUCUCCCCAGCCCCAUACACUUUCUUUUUCAGCUGUGUGUAUCUCCAGUAACAUCAUUUCCCUCUCCUUUAAAACAGAGGUUAAGAAUCUGCCCUGGCAUGGUACCAUGUAUAAGUGGUUAAAAGUCUCUAACUGAGUUCUGUGAUGGGUUGGCUCCCUGUCUACUCAAGUACUGUGACUGCAUUCUGAGGAUAUCUGCCUUUUGGAUUGGCAUUUUAAGAAGCAGUUGGUUAAGAGCAGAGCAAACACCUGGGUCAGUGGUACCUCGCCAAAGGCAACUUUGUCCUCCAAGAGACACUUGCUAAGAAUUAAGAGACAUUUUUUAAAUUAGUACAGAUGGGAAGAUAUUAUUAGAUAAAAAGCCAGAGAUUUUUGUCUGAGAGCAUCCUAAACUACACAAGACAGCCACACUUCAAGUCACAGAAGUACCCAGCCCCAAAGGUUAAUGGCUCUAUACAUAUCAUGAUGUCUUUUCGAUAUUUUACAUGUUAAAAACGUAGAUUCAGUCUUGCUUCUUGUGAAUGGUUUCCAGGGCUCCGUCAGCGUCCCUUUGUGUAGAUGUCUGGCAUAGUUUUGGUGUUACUUACCCAGCUCCCCUUAUACUAUGGAGUGACCAUCACCUGAGGGAAGAUUGAGGCUGUGCUCUGACAUUGGCAUGUAUGUGCAUACAUUCUAUUAACCCCAGCACACACAUGUACACCUGCACACACACAAACAUGAGCAAACAAAAUAAAAUAAAUCUCUCCAUUUUAAAAUGAAGUCAAAGUUAGCUUACAACCAGGAUUUAAAUGUGACUUUGGCCAUGGUACCAUUUCACGUUAAUUCAUGCAUUGAAACCAACAUGCCCUGCACCUUGUCUUUUUAGUAUAAAAAAAAGCUAUGUGUUUGUCUAUUGCAGCCAUAACUGUGAGUAGAACAUAAAGCAGGAGGCGAUAGGUUUCCCACACGCUUCUUGGUAAUUAAUUUUAAAACAUGCCAAGUGUGCAAGACAUCACUCACCCGGUGACACUCCAUCAACAAAGAAUCCCACAACAAUGCAGAUGAAUGCUGACAAAUAACAGCAAAUGUACCGCAGGGUUUGGUUUACCCAUCAAAAGCAGAAAGGCCUUGAAGGCUAUUUAUUGCACCAUGAAUCUUCAGCUAUAACCUCCAUUAGGUUGGUAUGAGACUUCCUUGCUUUAAAAGAAAAAUGCUCUGAGGUCCAAGAGAAGUUAUUACUGAGUCUUCUCAGAGACUAAAACAAACUCCCCAAAAUAAUAUUUUAAGGAAUUUUUAAAAAUUAAUUUUUGGAGAGGAUUUGGUAACUGGGUCUGCAAUUCGCAAAAUAAAAAUAUUCAACUUUCCAAGAGGCUAAAAAUAGCAGGACUGUGUUUUUACUCAGUUUAAAAGGUACCAUAAGUAGUUUCUUUCUGAAUUGAUAUUUUAGAUGAGAAUUAAUACAUUUCCAAUUCCCUCCUAUUAACAUCAUCAGCUCCUGAAUAUAGUCAGCCAAAAACUGUACUGUCUAAAACAGGCUUUCCACUGAAGACUGGUUAAAAAAAUCAAUGUUCAGUUCCCAUCAGUCCAGCAAAUUACUUACAGUAACCACAGUGCAAUUUUCCAUUAACCCUUCUCUUCCUCAGCCCAAAGAAAGACAUGCAAUUAACUGCCAAUCACUCUGUGUCUCACUCUGUGAAGGGCCAGGCUAGGCAGUGGGCUAUGCUCUGUUAGAAGUGAGAGGAGACAUAUUCGUCUUGCCUUCUUGCCAGGAAAUGAGGUAAUGGGUUGGCUGAUCUUUGAGACCUUGCUUGUGCUGAGGGAUUUGUUGUCACCUUAAAGAAAUCAGGGACAUUGGGCUGUGGGGUUAACAUGAAUAUUGUUAAGGUAUUUUGAAAAAUCCUACUAAACACAGCAUAUCUAAUUACAAAAAGAUUAGUGACACCCCCUCUUAUUAAGGCUAGACAAGGCAACCUUGUAGGAGAACAAGGGACCCAAAAGAUGAUUGAAAUCCCUGGGAGGACUAACCUGCUUUGAAAGGAAACAGAGAAAGAAUGGAUGGGGCAGAAGGAAUGGGAGGUAGAGGAGGUGGGAGACAGAGGUAGAGACAGAAAACUAUGGGCGGGAUGUAAUAUAUGAGAGACUUAAUUAAUUUUUAAAAUCCUAAAGGCCCUUAACUACUCUUGGUUAUGGUGAACUGUUAAUUUGUAACGGUCUUCAUAGGCUGUAGUAGCACUCAGCCCUAUCCCUACAGUUAGUUUUGUCCCUUAGUGGCAAAGCCACUAGAAUUAUUUUCCAUUGAAAGAAGGAAGGGCAUGUCAAGAGAACAGGGAUGGAGAGUCAGCUAUUGAAAGUUUCAACUCUGAGCCAAAUGUGACCCAUAUACAUGAUUUGUUUGACUCCGCUAGUGUGGAAAACAUGGGUAAAUUUUAAAUGGUUGGACUUCAUAAAACUUGUGAAUUUUCAGUUAUUCAAAAUUUAAAAUAGAAGCAGAGGCACCAGUUGACCCAUAUUCUAACUGUACUUUUGCAGAGC